rnacentral:lncRNA from 1 species
GUGAGGUAACAAACAUUUGAAUGUAAAAUAUAUUUGCAUCAAUAACAGAAAUCCUACCACUGGACACGUAUGUGUGGCCUACAUUGACAGCAAGUCACAGGAAGGCAGAAUUCAGCUCUUCAUGUCAAAGGAUCCAGAGACUGCAGUGGUGUGUGCCUGAGUCUGUAGAGAGGACACCCCUCUAAUCCCUCCAUAUGGCCCAAGGAGUUCUCCUCAUCCCUCGAUCCGGUCUAAUGCAGUGGGGCCCCUGGGAAAUAUACUGCCUUGAGGAGGAGACAGAUGAGGAUGUAGUUGAAAUCUGCCACAGCUUUCACCAUGUCCGUGGCCAUACACCAGAAUGUCAUUA